rnacentral:misc_RNA from 1 species
AGUGAAUGAAAAUUUAGAGCUGAAAUCACGGUCGAAGAAGACACUGGAACCCCAAAACCACGUCAUCCAUGGAAGCACACAGGAAGAAGCUGUUGAUGGGCUUGAUUAUUCUCACAGUUUUCGUUUCAGGUUCAAGAGGUUGGACCGGGGCAAUCCAUGGCCGAGUUAUCUGCGAUGUCUGCGGCGAUUCUUCCAUUGGCCCAGAAGACCAUGUUCUUGAAGGUGCUGAAGUAGCAGUUCUUUGCAUAACAAGAUCGGGAGAAGUUCUAAACUACCAGGCAUUUACAAACUUCAAGGGUAGAUACACUGUUGCAGAGACGAUGUCAGAAAGCGACCGUUGGGAUGCAUGCCUUGCUCGGCCGAUCAGCAGUUUUCAUGAACACUGCACCCAUCUUGGCGCCAAUAGCUCGGGAGUGAAAUUCAGUUACAAUCAUCCAUCUGGUCACUCUCACACUGUCAGACCUUUCGUCUAUCGACCAAGCAGCAUGCCAACAUACUGCAUUUGACAAAUUCUGAAUAGUGGCAAUAAGGUUGUGAGGUUGGAAGUCCACAAUUGAGUUCUCUUAUGAAAAAAUAUUGUCUGCUAUAUGCUCGAUUUAAUGUAAACCUCAGUCUGUUUAUAUCAACUUUUUGUUAUGAUGUACAUCAAUUAGUACCAAUGUUACUGAUAGAUUUUGAUAAAUAUUGCCGGGAUGAUAUCGAUAUUCA